UCAAGGCUUUCUGGGAAAUGAUAUAUAAUGAACUGAAAAAGGUAUUUAAAUAUACCUUUCUGAAGAAACCAGAGGCCUUUCUUCUGGGCAUUGUCAGCCAAUUGGUGUCAAAGAAGGACAGAACCUUUUUUAUGUAUGCUACAACAGCAGCAAGAAUACUCAUCGCAAAGUAUUGGAAGACACAAGAUCUACCCACUUUGGAAGAAUGGCAGAUGAAGGUGAUUGACUACAUGGAAUUGGCGGAAAUGACUGGCAGAAUCCGAGACCAGGGAGAAGAGUCGGUGAAAGAAGACUGGAAGCAAUUUAAAGACUAUUUACAGAAAUAUUGCAAAAUUAAGGAAUCUUAGAAGGAUGUUGGAUAGAAACUAAGAGGUUUUUAGCUGUAAUGCUUUAAGAGAUAUGAAAAAAGGUUAACAAUUGGGUAAAAGUUUAAUGGUAAGGAUUUGCUGAACUAACAAACUGAACUGGAAUACAAAAAAGGGAGGUAUGAGGAGGUCCGGGGAAAUAAGUGUAGGGAAGAUAGGUUUGGAAAAUCAAUGUCUUUUUAACUGUUUUAUUUUGUAUGUUUCCUUUUUAGUCUCUAUUUUUUUGUUAUAUUUUAAAAACGUUAUUCUUUUUUUUUUGUACUCUGUAUUUUUUUUUGUAUUUCUUGAAACUUUAAUAAAUAUCUUU